rnacentral:lncRNA from 1 species
GUCAUUGUACUUCUCAUCAUUGGGAAGUGUAUAACACUUACUAUUAAAAAAACCCUACCAAACAUAAUUCCUCUUUCUCAAAAACUGGAUCUGACCAUCUUUGCACUUGAACAGCUUCCUCUUCCUCGUCCUUCAAUGAUAACACAGCAAAACCUCUUUCUAUUCCUUUAUUUCGCCCACACAAAACAUCCUCAAAUUUAAAGAAAUCAAGC